GAUGAACGCUGGCGGCGUGCCUAAUACAUGCAAGUCGAGCGAACAGAUGAGAAGCUUGCUUCUCUGAUGUUAGCGGCGGACGGGUGAGUAACACGUGGGUAACCUACCUAUAAGACUGGGAUAACUCCGGGAAACCGGGGCUAAUACCGGAUAAUAUUUUGAACCGCAUGGUUCAAUAGUGAAAGACGGUUUCGGCUGUCACUUAUAGAUGGACCCGCGCCGUAUUAGCUAGUUGGUAAGGUAACGGCUUACCAAGGCGACGAUACGUAGCCGCCCUGAGAGGGUGAUCGGCCACACUGGAACUGCGACACGGUCCAGACUCCUACGGGAGGCAGCAGUAGGGAAUCUUCCGCAAUGGGCGAAAGCCUGGCGGAGCAACGCCGCGUGAGUGAUGAAGGUCUUCGGAUCGUAAAACUCUGUUGUUAGGGAAGAACAAAUUUGUUAGUAACUGAACAAGUCUUGACGGUACCUAACCAGAAAGCCACGGCUAACUACGUGCCAGCAGCAGCCGCGG
rnacentral:rRNA from 1 species